GACGAACGCUGGCGGCGUGCCUAAUACAUGCAAGUCGAGCGAAGUUUUUCUGGUGCUUGCACCGGAAAAACUUAGCGGCGAACGGGUGAGUAACACGUAAAGAACCUGCCUCAUAGACAGGGACAACUAUUGGAAACGAUAGCUAAUACCGGAUAAUAGCAUUAACUGCAUGGUUGAUGUUUAAAAGUUGGUUUUGCUAACACUAUGAGAUGGCUUUGCGGUGCAUUAGCUAGUUGGUGGGGUAAAGGCCUACCAAGGCGACGAUGCAUAGCCGACCUGAGAGGGUGAUCGGCCACACUGGGACUUAGACACGGCCCAGACUCCUGCGGGAGGCAGCAGUAGGGAAUCUUCCGCAAUGGGCGAAAGCCUGACGGAGCAACGCCGCGUGAGUGAAGAAGGAUUUCGGUUCGUAAAGCUCUGUUGUUAGGGAAGAAUGAUUGUGUAGUAACUAUACACAGUAGAGACGGUACCUAACCAGAAAGCCACGGCUAACUACGUG
rnacentral:rRNA from 1 species